rnacentral:lncRNA from 1 species
GAGGACUGUGAAGCAAUCGGGGCGAGGCCGGGUGUCUGUUCAACUCUCCCGCGUAUCGUCUGUUUCUUCGGCGGCGGACAGUGUUCUGUAAUGUGUCUCCCGUUGCCCGAGCUAAAGGCAGUCUCCACACCACUGUGCUCGAACAGCUCUAUGAAGAGGCCUAUGUGGAGAGGAGAAAAAGCCUCCACCAACAGCCAGCACCAACUUGCCAGCCAUAUGGCGUCUUGCUCUGUCACCCAGGCUGGGGUGCAGUGGUGUGAUCUCAGCUCACUGCAACCUCUGCCUCCUGGGUUCAAGCAAUUCUUCUGCCUCAGCCUCCCAAAGAGCUGUGAUUACAGACGUGUGCCACAAUACCCGGCUAAGUUUUGUAUUUUUAUUAUUAUUUUAUUUAUGUGUUUAUUUAUUUAUUUAUUUAUUUAUUUUGAGAUGGAGUCUUGCUGUGUCGCCCAGGGUGGAGUGCAGUGGUGCGAUCUCUGCUCGCUGCAGCCUCUGCCCCCCAGGCGAUUCUCCUGCCUCAGCCUCCCGAGUAGCUGGGAUUACAGGUGCCCGCCACCAUACCCGGCUAAUUUUUGUAUUUUUAGUAAAGACAGGGUUUUGCCAUGUUGGCCAGGCUGAUCUCGAACUCCUGACCUCAAGUGAUCUGUCUGCCUUGGCCUCCCAAGGCAGGGAGCCUGCUGGGAUUACAGGCAUGAGCCACCACGCCCAGUCAAAAUGUUUUAAAUGUUUCUAUACCACCAUCUGUGUCAAAGAGCAAAUGGUCUCUCUGCAGCUGGAACAACAAAAACUCAAAUGGUCCACACAGUGGUUCAUACCUAUAAGUCACCAAACCUAAACUAAGUUGUUAUCUGACCUUCUGGAAAUGAGAAGAGAUAGAUAACUGCCAGUUUCCCAAACAGGCCAGUUUAAAUCUUCCUGUAAGCAUGAUAAGGAAGUUCCCUCUGAUUUAAUCCUUACACACGAAAAAGUAGCCUUAAAUAACCUGAUAUUAACUCAUCAGUUUUAUUUUUAUUUAUUUAUUUUUUUUUGAGACAAUGUCUUGCUCUGUCACCCAGGCUGGAGUGCAGUGGCACAAUCUCGGCUCACUGCAAUCUCCGCCUCCCGGGUUCACGCCAUUCUCCUGCCUCAGCCUCCCGAGUAGCUGGGACUACAGGUGCCUGCCACCACACCCGGCUAAUUUUUGUAUUCUUAGUAGAGAUGGGGUUUCACCGUGUUAGCCAGGAUGGUCUCGAUCUCCUGACCUUGUGAUCCACCCCCCUCGGCCUCCCAAAGUGCUGGGAUUACAGGUGUGAGCCACCGCGCCUGGCCACUCAUCAGUUAUUUUUCUAUCAUUUUGUCUUUCUGUCCCCACUUUACAAGAAAAGUGACUUUGAAAGGACUAAUAACAUUAUUCGUUUUUUGCUUCUGCUUUCUUCAGCCCUUCUCUGUCUGUAAAGCCAGCUUCUUUUGCACAGCUCACUGCAACACUUAUUUUUAUUUGUAUUUUUAUUUUUUGAGACAAUGUCUCACUCUGUCACCCGGGCUGGAGAGUGGAGAGUACUAAUGCAGUCUUGGCCCACUGCACCUUCACCCUCCUCAACUCAAGCAAUCUUCCUGCCUCAACUUCCCUGGCAGCCAGGACUACAGGCUUGCACCACUAUACCCAGCUAAUUUUUAAAAUUUUUUUUUUUGUAGAGACAGGGUCUUGCUAUGUGGGCCAGACUGGUCUCAAACUCCUGGCCUCAAGGGAUCCUUCUUCCUUGGCCUGCCAAAGUGCUGGGAUAGAAUAAGUGUGCCGGGGCCACCAUGCCCAGGCCACCACACCUGGCCCACUUAUUCUAUUUUAUGGAAUGAAGUGUUACCCAAUUCUGGCUUUUUUUGAGACAGGGUCGUGCACCGUUGCUCAGGCGGGAAUGCAGUGGCACGAUCUUGGAACACUCCAACCUCCACCUCCAAGGCUCAAGCCAUCUUCCCACCUCAGCCUCCCGAGUAGCUGGGGCCACAGGCGUGUGCCACCACAUCCAGCUAAUUUUUGUAUUUUUUGUAGAGAUGGGGUUUUGCCAUGUUGCCCAGGCUGGUUUGGUCUCAAACUCCUGGUCUCAAGCCAUCCACCCACCUUGGUCUCCCAAAGUGCUGGGAUUACAGAUGUGAACCAACAUGUCCAGCCUUUUUUUUUUUUUGAGACAAAUUCUGGCUCUGUCACCCAGACUGGAGUGCAGUGGUGCCAUCUUGGCUCACUGCAACCUCCACCUCCGAGGCUCAAGCAAUUCUCUCACCCCAGCCUCCUGAGUAGCUAGGACCACAGGUGCUCACCACCACGCCUGGUUAACUUUUGUGUUUUUUGUAGAGAUGGGGUUUUGCCAUGUUUCCUAUGCUGGUCUGGAACUCAUGAACUCAACAGAUUGUCCCACCUCAGCCUCUCAAAGUGCUGGGAUUACAGCUCAAAGCACCUGUCAUAAAAAUAUUAACUUGUAAUAAAAGUGUUUAGUAACACUAAUAUGUGAUGGCAAUUUCAGGAAAGUCAAUGUUCUGAGCAAGAAGAACAAGGAACAGAAGGUAUAAUGAUAACAGAUGAGAGAGGAAAAAGCAGACUCAAUCAACUCCUACUUUUCCAUCAUUUUUCCGUUACAGAGAAUUAUCCUCAAAUUAGAAGGAGUAGGACCUACAUGGUAAAGAAAAAAUUUACGUGCAAGGCAGAUGAGGAAGUAAGAGAGCAUCCAGCCCCUUCACACAACUUCAUUCUCUGUCUUACCGAAAGAAUGUGAAAUGUGGUGGUAGCUUUACUGGGGACAGGAGAGGUGCCAGAAGUUUGAAGAUGGACUAAUCUCCUUGUUUUCUAAAAGAAGAACCUAUAAGUCUCUGAGCACAUUUUUCUUUGGCAAAAUUCUGGAAUGGAUAAUUAGACAAAUGGUUUGUGAAUCUUUAGAAAAGUGGCAAAAACAAGGCACAGCAUAAAUUCACUAAAAAAUAAGUGGACCUAAA